GGACUACACGGGUUUCUAAUCCUGUUCGCUCCCCACGCUUUCGCUCCUCAGCGUCAGAACAGGCCCAGAGAACCGCCUUCGCCACCGGUGUUCCUCCUGAUAUCUGCGCAUUUCACCGCUACACCAGGAAUUCCGUUCUCCCCUGCCUGCCUCUAGCCAGCCCGUAUCCACCGCACGCCCGGGGUUAAGCCCCGGGAUUUCACGGCGGACGCAACUGGCCGCCUACGAGCUCUUUACGCCCAAUAAUUCCGGACAACGCUCGCGCCCUACGUAUUACCGCGGCUGCUGGCAC
rnacentral:rRNA from 1 species